UUGGUCCACUUCUCUGUUUGCUCUCUAGCGUACGUUAUCGCGAGUGUUUCGCAUACUCUCUAAUUUCAAUGGAAUGUCAACAUGGAAUAUAUUCGAUAAAACUAUAAUAGCUGUGAAAAUUGCGUCGUGUAGCCUCCCAAAAUCGUAUAAAAGCAGUAUGAUAUAUUAAAGAAUUUCAACAGUCUUCAUCGCUGUAAAAAGUCAGGCUCUAACCUCUUCGGUAUCCUUUUGAAUUUCGUUGUUUCUAUCGAUUAUGGAGAGACGCAACUGCACCGUGAUGUUGCUUCUUCUCGCUUGUGCGAUCGUCCAAGUUCAUUCCUCCUUCGAAAGUGUCAACAUCGUUGAUAUUCCAUCCGGAGAUAAAGAAAAAGAUGAUGUACCUUCACCAGUAACAUUCGACGAACAUAACCACAAAAUAAUAAGAAGAACACCUGGGGCACCGAAAAAUGAUUCGGAGAGGCUGAAUGCUUUGAAAAGAGCGAUAGCACAAUUACGUCCUAAAGUGUCGCGACCUGAAGAUAUAGCGCAAACCCACAGAGAGAACCUGAUGAGACAAUUCGAUGGAAUCGUUGAAAAUAUUCAGCGAGUGUACAGACUAAAUAGGGAGGCAGCAAUCGCCCGCGCUAUGAGUGAGAAUAGAGGACUGGUUGACGAAAUAAUUACAGCACAUGAGAUCUAAGUUUUUCCGUGCCCAAUUCUCACAGUUGGUUCGAGCACAGAAUUUCCGAAUAUAUCACAGUGUUUUGAUACAAAAUUUAUUCGUGUUUUAUGAAUCGAUGCACAAAAAAUGGCCUCCGCAAGAGCGUUAGUAUUAAGUCGAAAAAAUCACACCAUUUGGAAGGAGGAUUUUUAAUUCCAAAACUCUCGCUGUUAUUAUUUCUGUAAAUGUAAAUUUGACAGUUGAAAUGAUAAUAACCCCACAAUAAUGA